rnacentral:rRNA from 1 species
GAUGAACGCUAGCGGCAGGCCUAACACAUGCAAGUCGAGGGAGGAGCUUUCGGGCUUCGACCGGCGUACGGGUGCGUAACGCGUAUACAAUCUGCCUUUCACAUAGGGAUAGCCCGAAGAAAUUUGGAUUAAUACCUAAUGGUAUAUAGAGGUGGCAUCACCUUUAUAUUAAAGCUGAGGCGGUGAAAGAUGAGUAUGCGUUCUAUUAGCUAGUUGGAGAGGUAACGGCUCCCCAAGGCGACGAUAGAUAGGGGUUCUGAGAGGGAUAUCCCCCACACUGGGACUGAGAUACGGACCAGACGACUACGGGAGGCAGCAGUGAGGAAUAUUGGACAAUGGUCGGAAGACUGAUCCAGCCAUGCCGCGUGCAGGAAGACGGCCUUAUGGGUUGUAAACUGCUUUUGCAGGGGAAGAAUAAGGACUACGCGUAGUUUGAUGACGGUACUCUGCGAAUAAGCAUCGGCUAACUCCGUG